AUUGAACGCUGGCGGCAGGCCUAACACAUGCAAGUCGAGCGAGCGGCGGGCGGGUGCGUAAUGUAUGGGGACUGCCCGUUAGCGGCGGAUAACUACUGGAAACGGUGGCUAAUACCGCAUACAGUCCGAUAACUCAUAUGGGAUUAGCUAGUAGGUAAGGUAAUGGCUUACCUAGGCCACGAUCCCUAGCUUGUCUGACAGGAUAAUCAGCCACACUGGGACUGCGACACGGCCCAGACUCCUACGGAGGCAGCAGUGGGGAAUAUUGCACAAUGGGCGCAAGCCUGAUGCAGCCAUGCCGCGUGUAUGAAGAAGGCCCUAGGGUUGUAAAAUACUUUCAGUCGGGAAGCGUUACCGACAGAAGAAGCACCGGCUAACUCCGUGCCAGCAGCCGCGGUAAUUC
rnacentral:rRNA from 1 species